GGCGGCGUGCUUAACACAUGCAAGUGGCGCGACGAACCAGGGCUUGCCCUGGGGCUAAGCCGCGAACGGGUGAGUAACACGUGAGUAAUCUGCCCCGAUGACCGGGACAACCCGAGGAAACUCGGGCUAAUACCGGAUGUGGUGCACGGGUAUAAGCCUGUGUACUAAAGGAAGCUUCGGCCUCCGCAUUGGGAGGAGCUCGCGGCCCAUUAGCUUGUUGGUGGGGUAACGGCCUACCAAGGCAACGAUGGGUAGCUGGUCUGAGAGGACGAUCAGCCACACUGGGACUGAGACACGGCCCANACUCCUACGGGAGGCAACAGUGGGGAAUCUUGCGCAAUGCGCGAAAGCGUGACGCAGCAACGCCGCGUGGGGGAAGACGGCCUUCGGGUUGUAAACCCCUUUCAGGAAGGACGAAGGUUCACCGGUUAACAGCCGUGUGGAUUGACGGUACCUCCACAAGAAGCUCCGGCUAACUACGUGCCAGCAGCCGCGGUAAUAC
rnacentral:rRNA from 1 species